ensembl:lncRNA
GGCUAGUCAAACUUCAGGCUACAUCAACUGGUUGUUAAAGUCAUGUUCAGAUAGUUACUUGAAUCAAAUAACUAUGCUAAUAUUGUCAGUACGCAGGUAUGAAUCAGCUUUUAUUGUGAUAGGCUUAGCGGGUAAGGCUCUGGGUUACUGAUCAGAAGGUCGGGGGUUCAAGCCCCAGCCCUGCCCACGUGCCACUGUUGGGCCCUUGAGCAAGGCCCUUAACUCUCUCUGCUCCAGGGGCGCUGUGUCAUGGCUGACCCUGCGAUCUGACCCCAGCUUCCUAACAUGCUGGGGUAUGUGAAGAAAGGAAUUUCACUGUGCAUAUGUUUAUGUGAUCAAUAAAGACUCAUUAUCAUUAUAUUUACGUUGUUAGGCUUAAAAUUAAUACGAAGCAGAACCGCCCUCAGUUUUUGAAACAAAAUUGUUAGUACUGAACUACAGGACCUACACAGCUAACGUGAGCUAGCUAUAUUGUAGUAUAUUGCCAAGUCAAAAUAGAUCAGCAUACAUCAUACCUACUUGGACUGUAAUUCAUAUCAUACAGGAACUUUCUAAAGAACCCACAAGGAACCCUUUUCUUCUACAACUGUAACUAUGUUGUAGUUAUUUUUGCACAAAUUAGAACUCAUUUUUAGAAAUCAUUUCCAUUACAGCAAUAUUUCUGCUUGGUAUUCUUAAAAGAAACACACACACACACACACACACACACACACACACACACACACACACACACACACACACACACAUACACACUUCUAAAAGAAACACAGACACAGUCUGUUUUCUUUCGUCUCACAGCGGUUCUUAGAGAUACACGAGUGUCACUGCGUGUCUAUUGAAUAUUCACUCACGCGCUCGGUUCUCGCUGGUUCUCUCCUGAGAUGGCGGUAUGAUUUUUCAAGAAACCUAUGUCAUGAGAGCACCCAAGAAGUAAUUAAGUUCAUGAUGGAUUUCCUUUUGGAAAAGAAGUACGCCAAAAUCUCAAAAUCCUGAACGUGAUCCGCCAAUCAUGUAAAACUAAAUAACUUCUGAAGUUCCCGUGCUUCACAUUCCAGCCUGUUCCUGUAUGAGUAAAUCAAUCUGGCAUUUAAUGUUUU